AAGACAUGACGAGGACCAAGCGGUUUUCGUGUCAUCCUCACCAGUUCCAGGUCCAAAUUGGCUGUCAAAAACUUGUCGGCUUAUCAACCAAGACGUCUCAUGUCCAGAGGGCAUGGGUGUGUUUUCCUGCCAGGGUUGCAUCCGGAUCAAGAAAAAACUCUGGACCCUUGGAUCUAUCAGCAAUGUUGCUGUUACGGAUCAUCUGUGAGAAAUAAGCCCUCUUUAUUCUCCAAGUGGCACUACCAGGGACUCGCAAGGGGCCAAUUCAGAAUAAAGUGGUCCGAAGACUCCCUUGCCUGUCAUCUUGAAUCUGCACCGUGAAGACAGCGGGGAUCAAAGCAGUUUUCCCUCCAACUGUCAGUCCAGUGUUACCUGCCUGGAAGAAGCCUUACCAUCUUAAGCUGUGACCAAACGGGAGUAAUGUCCCUUGGCGGAGGGAUGCCUUGAGGCUAAAAAAAAGAGCCUAAAGGCUCAUUGUAGACAAGUUCAGGAUAAGAAAGACUCAAUUAGGGAUUUGACUUUGAUGUCAUGGUGAACAACGUGGCGUUAUCCAAGUAGAAACCUAAAGAGGACUGUUAUGGGCAGGGGUGUUGACUAGGGUCAGUAAUAGAGCAUAUUCCUCUGAGCAUGAGCAUCAUAAUAAAAUCAUACAUCCAUAAAAAACAGUGUGAACAAGAAGAAAGAGUAAAGUGAAUGAGAUAUGAAACUCAGUGAGACAAAACUAAGAGCGAGCACUUAAAUCACAAGGACCUAAUGCUGACCGGGUGAUUGAUGCGUACCACCUCAAAAAGUGUACCGUCUUGCCACCACUGUGAUUUAAAUUUCUUCAUCAAAGUCCAGUGGAGAAGGUGACUGGCAGAACAAUAAACAAAAACAAGAAGACGAUGGCCUUGGUGACGGAGGGGAUUCGGAUUGCUUCUGAACAACUUAUGUUGAAUGAUGUAGUUGUGUAUUACCCUCAAAACUGUUCAUCAAACCAAGACAACGCCUAUUGCUUAAAAGACAGUGCAGAGCGACGUUUUCACCAAUAAGUCUAAACACCUUUCCUUUCUUGGGAGGAAAAGACUCAAAUGUGACUUGUAGAGGGGAAAAGAAACUUGCCAAACUGAGAUAGAUGGCAACUGUUUUCCCAUCCUGUUUGCAUUUCAAUAAAUUGCUCCUGAGCAGGAUGCUAUCUCAGUCUUACUGGUAUGCAGAGAAGCAGGGCGAUCAUCUUCAGGAACAACAACAUACCGCCCAAUUACGAACACAAUUUGUCUGACAUUAUCGCCCUUCCCCUGGCGCCGUGGGCUUGUGGCAAGAGUUAAAAAAAAAAAAAAAAAGAGUCGUGACGAGCAGACAUGCACAUUAAAACAAGAGUGAUGGCACCCCAUUUAUAAGAAUAAAGUUUCAAACGGCUGCUCUUUUUUUUCUCAGCAGGGGGUCUUUAAAAGCCAUCUGGUGGCAGUUGGGUAAGGCCGAGAGUAGACUAAAUAACUGAGAGGAAUGGACUCUUGUCGGAGGUUUGGUGCCUUCUAAACUAGCAAAACUGUUUAGGAUUAUUCAACAUUAAAGCAGCACCAGGUAAAUUCUUAACCUUCAUAAAAUAUUUUCAUAACUUUUGGAAUU